AGCAGCCGCGGUAAUUCCAGCUCCAAUAGCGUAUAUUAAAGUUGUUGCAGUUAAAAAGCUCGUAGUUGAAUUUCGGGAUCAAUAUGUCGGUCGUGCUCUUUGGUACGUACUGGCGUCAUUGUUCCCUCCUUUCUGACGAGCCAUGAUGUCAUUCAUUUGGUGUUAUGGGGAGUUAGGACUGUUACUUUGAAAAAAUUAGAGUGUUUAAAGCAGGCAUUAGCUUGAAUACAUUAGCAUGGAAUAAUGAAAUAGGACGUUCGAUCCUAUUUUGUUGGUUUCUAGGAUCAACGUAAUGAUUAAUAGGGAUAGUUGGGGGCAUUAGUAUUCAAUUGUCAGAGGUGAAAUUCUUGGAUUUAUUGAAGACUAACUACUGCGAAAGCAUUUGCCAAGGAUGUUUUCAUUAAUCAAGAACGAAAGUUAGGGGAUCGAAGACGAUCAGAUACCGUCGUA
rnacentral:rRNA from 1 species